UUGUAUUAAACUGUAUAAUUUAUUGUUUCUUAAUAUAUACUCACUAGCUUUUGGACAAUCAGCAUAAAACGCCAGUCCAGUUAACAGUAAACACAUGGACAGUAUUAAUGAAUAAUGCCUAAUGAGUUAAUAUAACUUUGAUUUGUGAUGCUUGGUAAUUAACAAAAAUAACAUUAUAACUCGUGUAGGAACUAGAGUAAUCUAGUUAAAACAAUCACAAUUUGUUUAAGAGUUGUAAUUUUUUACGGGCCACAAAGUGUGCAGGAUCAGCUAUAGCCUAUAUUAAAAUAUAUACGUUUGUGUGCAGAUCUCUGUGAAGAAGAUAGGCUAAUUUAAAGAGUUAAAUUUGGUUUUUAUUCGUCGGAAUUUAGUACGUUUAGGUUAGGUUAGGACUAUGUAUUAAUUGAUUACAUUAAUCCGCCAUAUUAUAUCAAAAUAAACUUGGUAUAACUAUUAUACUUUAGAGUUAAAUCAUACACUUACGUACAAACAACACGGAGUCCGCGAUCUACCGCAGGUAGGCAAUCUACCUGAUUAUGUACUGCUGUGAAUCAGAAUUUUUAUACCGGGCAACGGAAAUUUAAGAUAAAUUUUGAACACCGUACACCGAAUAUUAAAUAACGAAUUGAACAAAGUUUGAGUCAUAUAGAGUUGGUACAUUUAACGGGCAAUGAAGUGCACAGGAUCAGCUAGUGCGGUUAUGCUUUUCAUUUUCAAGUCUGGUCAUGGAAACACAAUAUAAUAUUUUACUAAGUCUCGAAGACUGCGUCUAAUAAUUGGUUAAACCGAACAAUUUGAGGGGCGUGUGUUUUGAAGAACGGGCUGUUAUCUAUUUCAAACAUUUCGUGGGAAAAUAUCUAAAAGUUCGACCGAACUGUUCGUACUUAUUUUGGUAUCGCAUAAAAAGAGGUUCCAUUCGCAAUGGAGUAAAAAUCAAACGCUUCAACCAACCAACAGGUACACGUAGUCAAAGUAUCGAAAAAAAAAACUAUCGGCCAUG